rnacentral:rRNA from 1 species
GAUUCGUCACACUAUCAUUAACUGAAUCCAUAGGUUAAUGAGGCGAACCGGGGGAACUGAAACAUCUAAGUACCCCGAGGAAAAGAAAUCAACCGAGAUUCCCCCAGUAGCGGCGAGCGAACGGGGAGGAGCCCAGAGCCUGAAUCAGCAUGUGUGUUAGUGGAAGCGUCUGGAAAGGCGCGCGAUACAGGGUGACAGCCCCGUACACAAAAGCGCAUGUGCUGUGAGCUCGAUGAGUAGGGCGGGACACGUGGUAUCCUGUCUGAAUAUGGGGGGACCAUCCUCCAAGGCUAAAUACUCCUGACUGACCGAUAGUGAACCAGUACCGUGAGGGAAAGGCGAAAAGAACCCCGGCGAGGGGAGUGAAAAAGAACCUGAAACCGUGUACGUACAAGCAGUGGGAGCACCCUUCGGGGUGUGACUGCGUACCUUUUGUAUAAUGGGUCAGCGACUUAUAUUCUGUAGCAAGGUUAACCGUAUAGGGGAGCCGGAGGGAAACCGAGUCUUAAUUGGGCGUUAAGUUGCAGGGUAUAGACCCGAAACCCGGUGAUCUAGCCAUGGGCAGGUUGAAGGUUGGGUAACACUAACUGGAGGACCGAACCGACUAAUGUUGAAAAAUUAGCGGAUGACCUGUGGCUGGGGGUGAAAGGCCAAUCAAACCGGGAGAUAGCUGGUUCUCCCCGAAAGCUAUUUAGGUAGCGCCUCGUGAAUUCAUCUCCGGGGGUAGAGCACUGUUUCGGCUAGGGGGCCAUCCCGGCUUACCAACCCGAUGCAAACUGCGAAUACCGGAGAAUGUUAUCACGGGAGACACACGGCGGGUGCUAACGUCCGUCGUGAAGAGGGAAACAACCCAGACCGCCAGCUAAGGUCCCAAAGUCAUGGUUAAGUGGGAAACGAUGUGGGAAGGCCCAGACAGCCAGGAUGUUGGCUUAGAAGCAGCCAUCAUUUAAAGAAAGCGUAAUAGCUCACUGGUCGAGUCGGCCUGCGCGGAAGAUGUAACGGGGCUAAACCAUGCACCGAAGCUGCGGCAGCGAACGUAUCACCCAAGACAACUUUACGGAGUUGACGAUUGACGGAGCGAAGCGACGUCAAAGCGUUCAUUAAAGUCGAGUUGGCUUAGGGAUACGUU